rnacentral:rRNA from 1 species
UACGUAGGGCGCAAGCGUUAUCCGGAAUUAUUGGGCGUAAAGAGCUCGUAGGCGGUUUGUCGCGUCUGCCGUGAAAGUCCGGGGCUCAACUCCGGAUCUGCGGUGGGUACGGGCAGACUAGAGUGAUGUAGGGGAGACUGGAAUUCCUGGUGUAGCGGUGAAAUGCGCAGAUAUCAGGAGGAACACCGGUGGCGAAGGCGGGUCUCUGGGCCGAUACUGACACUGAGGAGCGAAAGCCAGGGGAGCAAACGGG